CCUACUUGAGGAGAAAUUACCCUUGGUGUGUUGGCUUUAUCACGACAAAUCAUCCAAGGACAAUUUCUUGUUGAGUAUC
rnacentral:pre_miRNA from 15 species